rnacentral:rRNA from 1 species
AGCGAACGCUGGCGGCAGGCUUAACACAUGCAAGUCGAACGCCCCGCAAGGGGAGUGGCAGACGGGUGAGUAACACGUGGGAACGUACCCUUUGGUUCGGAAUAACUUGGGGAAACUCAAGCUAAUACCGGAUAAGCCCUUAUGGGGAAAGGUUUACUGCCGAAGGAUCGGCCCGCGUCUGAUUAGCUAGUUGGUGAGGUAAUGGCUCACCAAGGCGACGAUCAGUAGCUGGUCUGAGAGGAUGAUCAGCCACACUGGGACUGAGACACGGCCCAGACUCCUACGGGAGGCAGCAGUGGGGAAUAUUGGACAAUGGGGGCAAUCCUGAUCCAGCCAUGCCGCGUGGGUGAUGAAGGCCCUAGGGUUGUAAAGCCCUUUCGGCGGGGAAGAUAAUGACGGUACCCGCAGAAGAAGCCCCGGCUAACUUCGUGCCAGCAGCCGCCGUAA